GGACGAACGCUGGCGGCGUGCUUAACACAUGCAGGUCGAACGGAAAGGCCCUGCUUUUGUGGGGUGCUCGAGUGGCGAACGGGUGAGUAACACGUGAGUAACCUGCCCUUGACUUUGGGAUAACUUCAGGAAACUGGGGCUAAUACCGGAUAGGAGCUCCUGCUGCAUGGUGGGGGUUGGAAAGUUUCGGCGGUUGGGGAUGGACUCGCGGCUUAUCAGCUUGUUGGUGGGGUAGUGGCUUACCAAGGCUUUGACGGGUAGCCGGCCUGAGAGGGUGACCGGCCACAUUGGGACUGAGAUACGGCCCAGACUCCUACGGGAGGCAGCAGUGGGGAAUAUUGCACAAUGGGCGGAAGCCUGAUGCAGCAACGCCGCGUGCGGGAUGACGGCCUUCGGGUUGUAAACCGCUUUCGCCUGUGACGAAGCGUGAGUGACGGUAAUGGGUAAAGAAGCACCGGCUAACUACGUG
rnacentral:rRNA from 1 species